rnacentral:lncRNA from 10 species
GGGACGUGGGAAAAUGACUACGCGUCACUCGUGAUGUCGCGCAUCCGAUAGGCCCUUUUCAGAUGGCAAAAGGCCUGAGGGUGAAUCUGGGCGAGCUGGUUGAGUCCAUGCGUUUGUGCUUCCUCUCAGUCCACUUUCGCUUACGAUGGGGCGACUCUUGUCCAUCGUCACCUCACCGGGAAACUUUUCCUGCCGGGCCAGUUAAUGGUCCCCUGUACCAUCCCCAUCCUGAGUGACUACUAAGCAGCCGCAGCGACUCGGGGUUGCUCCGUGACCACGUUACUCAGUUAACCUUCUUGUUCCCUGGAGAGGCGGAGCUGAAUGGCCCGGACGGGGUUUCUCCAUGUUUCCCAGGCUGGUCUCAAACUCCUGGACUCAAGCAAUCUGCCCACCUUGCCUCCCAAAAUGCUCCUCCAAAAAAGGAGUGUGCCGCCACACCCAGCCUGAGCAACUUUUGUUUUUAAGUAUAAACUGAGAGAGAAGACUGCCCAAGUUCUGGCCUAUAGACAGAAGACUUCUAACAGUGAAGGACAUGUUUGCUUCCCUUUCCACCAUGAUUGCAAGUUUCCUGAGGCCUCCCUAG